rnacentral:lncRNA from 1 species
UCCUGUCUAUUGUUUUUGUCUGCGCAAGUUAAUACGAAGCUGGCAAGGAGUGUGCCGAGAUUUCGUAUUUUGCCAUAGAUUUAAAGAAUAAUACCAUGGUUUUAUGAAGUAAUAACUUGUUUAGCGAUGUGGUUCGUUAGAACAUUAGCUGUGGAAAAUGGUAUACGACCUUCAUAACUAUUGGAUACUUCCGCCAUCUUGUCUUCACUUUUCUCAUAAGCGGAAUGACUGAAGUUCACGCUCCAGACAUAUAGAGCUCACUGUAUAUACAC